AGGAGAUGGUACAGACUGCAGUGAUGGUUUGGGCUUGUAUUAGUCCUUCUUGAUAAAGCCAAACAACCUGAGAACACUCAGGGAAUGAGAGUCUGGUUGUUGUUAUAUGUUGUUAAGACCUAAAAUGGUCAGGAGUAGAGGUAAUGGAGACCAGGGAGUUAAAACUGUGCCUGCUGUGCCUCAGCUAGUGUUUUUGCCUUCCCUGUUACAUUACUGCAUCUUUGGAAAACCAGCUGAGUUUCUUUUAUUUAAGAUGUUGUCUUUUGCUGGCAGAUUGGAGCUGACUCUUGCUGAUUUCUGAAAGGGCUGAUCGAAGGGCACCGGGGUCAGAUGAACUUCAAAACAGGCUUCUAGAGCAGAAGGCACGGGGUCACUGAGAUACAGGAACCGGCAGCAACAUGGACGACCAUUCCCUUCAUGCCUUUGGGCUUCCUCCUUGCCCUGAAUUUAAACCUACUGUUCAUAAUGGAGUUCUCAGGGGCAAAAGGCUCUUGGAUUCCUCAGAGCAGGUUCAGGCCCUGCCCUCAGCUAAGAAGCCUUGUGUCUUGAAUCAUCACUGUAGCACUCCAGAUCCAUCAAAGAAACUGCUGCUCUGCUCCCCAGAUUCUGCCUGCUUUCAAGGAUCCUCUCAUUUUCUGGCUGAUACUGGCCAUGACGACCUUGUUGCCAGUUCUUCUGCCUCAAAAUAUGAUGAUGUAGCCAUUUCUCUAGAUACAACCAGAUGUUUUGAUGAUAGCGAGCCAGAUGACUCCUUGUUGGAACUGUCAGACAAUGAAAUAGGGAAUUCUCCUUUCAAUUACACCGAGGAAGAGAUCCAGGAAAUCUUGGCAGAUGAUCGUGUGGAAUCUGAGUGGUACCUAAUGAGAAAAAGCACUCUGAGCCAAAAUGUAAAUGGAGAGAGUGAAAAGGACGAGAGCAGCAGCUGCACCGGGGCAUCAGUCAUCAGCGAAGAUGUGAGCGUGGCCUCAGAGAUCACAGAGACACCAAACAAACCUCCAUCCAGAGAGUGUUCUUCAUCUGGUUCAGAACCUCCCAGCCUUUCCAAUGAGAGUGUUAGUUUGGACGGGCACCCUCUGCAGUCAGCCCAAGUACCCCGCGUGUUGUUUGACCUUGACAUUGAGGAGCUUCUGAGCCUUAGCCCAAUUGAUGCUGAUGAUGUGGAUCAGCCUCUGGAAGACAAUUCUUUGGAGGAAGCCAAAAGAGAAGCUUCAGAAGAAAACCAAAGUGAUUGCCUAGAGUUUGAUAAAACGGCAAGUAGCUGCGUUCUUGAAGAAUUCUUGGAAGAGCUGAUGUCUAAUGGAUGGCAAAGCCUGGGUGUGGGCUGCCUGGGAGAGACGCCCGUUGUGAGCAGACAUGUGCCUGACUCCUGUGAUGAUCAGCUGGAAAGGUCCAUGCUCUCUUCUGACCCUGCCUGUGACCAGAGUCCAGCUGAGGAGAGAUCAGCGCCCGGGUUACCAAGGUGUCCCACGCCAUCUUCUGGGUCUGGAAACCGAGAACUUUCCAAAGCAACGAAGAGAUAUUUUUCAAGGAAAUUAAACUUUCUAGAGGAUCAUGGGGAGCAGGAAUCUUCAGCAGCUGAACAGCCAUCAAACAGUAUCAAAUUAAGUGAUACAGCUGUAGGCCAGAUUGGGCAGGAAGAAACAACCAGUGGGAAGAAUCCUGUGUCACAGGAGGAGGAGGAAAGGUAGUUUCUUAUGAACUUCUAAAUCCCUUUGCACUGUGAAAAAUGUCCCAGGAGUUUCCCAAACCAGUUCGUUUGGUUGUGUGCUGCUGGUUUUAUCUU
rnacentral:lncRNA from 1 species